rnacentral:snRNA from 1 species
AAAAAGGGCAUCUGCUGUGAGUAGCAUAGCUGUGGAAGGGAUUCUCUGACACAGUUACGGAAUCGCUAUCAAGAGAUUUCGGAUGCAUAAUUUUUAUGACACGGGGCUGCUAAUGAUCGUUGGUCUUGGCGCCCCAAA